rnacentral:tRNA from 1 species
UGGGGUAUCGUCUAAUGGUAGGACGACUGUCUCUGGAACAGUUAGUCUAGGUUCGAAUCCUGGUACCCCAG